rnacentral:rRNA from 1 species
UAGGGAAUCUUCCGCAAUGGACGCAAGUCUGACGGAGCAACGUCGCGUGAGUGAAGAAGGAUUUCGGUUCGUAAAACUCUGUUGUUAGAGAAGAACAGCGCAUAGAGUAACUGUUAUGCGUGUGUCGGUAUCUAAUCAGUAAGCCACGGCUAACUACGUGCCAGCAGCCGCGGUAAUACGUUGGUGGUCAGCGUUGUCCGGAUUUAUUGGGCGUAAAGCGAGCGCAGGCGGUCAAUUAAGUCUGAUGUGAAAGCCCCCGGCUCAACCGGGGAGGGUCAUUGGAAACUGGUUGACUUGAGUGCAGAAGAGGAGUGUGGAAUUCCAUGUGUAGCGGUGAAAUGCGUAGAUAUAUGGAGGAACACCAGUGGCGAAAGCGACUCGCUGGUCUGUAACAGACGCUGAGGCUCGAAAGCGUGGGUAGCAAACAGG